UUAGCAUCACCAGUUACCAAGUACACAUAGGACCAAGCUCCAGCUUGCAAUAAAUGACUCUUUGCUGUUUGCAUUGAUCAUGGUCUCUGGUGGUCUGAGAGGGGGCGUCUGAAAUCUGAGCACUUUAUGUGGGAGCUUGUCCGGGAUAGCCCCCCCCAUAAGCCACACAGAUACCUGAUCAGCGAGUCGUCCAGCUAGCCGGUGGGAUUCAAAAGAUCCGUUGAUGAAUUGCCUUGCUAAACAAGCGAGCCCUGGGAAAAUGAAGCUUAACAAAGGUGAAAAUCAUCUGUAAAGUUUGCUGGCACUCAUCCCAGUUGUGCAUGUGUGUGAAAAUUACUGUCUCUAAUGAGUGCUGUGGCGUCAAUUCAGAGCCUGGGAACUGGU